rnacentral:hammerhead_ribozyme from 1 species
AUCCAGUUGACGAGUCCCAAGUAGGACGAAACGCGAGUCCUGCAU